rnacentral:rRNA from 1 species
GGUUCGAUCCUGGCUCAGAUUGAACGCUGGCGGGAUGCUUUACACAUGCAAGUCGAACGGCAGCACGGACUUCGGUCUGGUGGCGAGUGGCGAACGGGUGAGUAAUGUAUCGGAACGUGCCUAGUAGCGGGGAUAACUACGCGAAAGCGGUAGCUAUCACCGCAUACGUCAAUUCUUCAAAGCGGGGACCUUUCGGGCCUGCAGUAAUUAUUAGAGCGGCCGAUAUCGGAUGAAGCAGUUGGUGGGGUAACGGCUCACCAAGGCGACGAUCCGUAGCUGGUUUGAGAGGACGACCAGCCACACUGGGACUGAGACACGGCCCAGACUUACGGGAGGCAGCAGUGGGGAAUUUGACAAUGGGGGAAACUCCUGGGAUCCAGCCAUCCCGCGUGUGCGAUGAAGCGCCUUCUGCCAAAAAGCACUUUUGGCAGGAAAGCAAACGGCACGGAUAAUACCCCGUGCAACUGACGGUACCUGCAGAAUAAGCACCACAACUACGCCAGUACGCGGUAAUACGUAGGGUGUAAGCGUUAAUCGGAAUUACUGGGCGUAAAGCGUGCGCAGGCGGUUCGGAAAGAAAGAUGUGAAAUCCCAGAGCUUAACUUUUGAACUGCAUUUUUAACUACCGAGCUAGAGUGUGUCAGAGGGAGGUGGAAUUCCGCGUGUAGCAGUGAAAUGCGUAGAUAUGCGGAGGAACACCGAUGGCGAAGGCAGCCUCCUGGGAUAACACUGACGCUCAUGCACGAAAGCGUGGGGAGCAAACAGGAUUAGAUACCCUGGUAGUCCACGCCCUAAACGAUGUCAACUAGCUGUUGGGGCCUUCGGGCCCCGGUAGCGCAGCUAACGCGUAGUUCCCGCCCGGGGAGUACGGUCGCAAGAUUAAAACUCAAAGGAAUUGACGGGGACUGCACAGGCGGUAGAUGAUGCGGAUUAAUUCGAUGCAACGCGAAAACCUUACCUACCCUUGACAUGUCUGGAAUCCCGAAGAGAUUUGGGAGUGCUCGCAAGAGAACCGGAACACAGGUGCUGCAUGGCUGUCGUCAGCUCGUGUCGUGAUGUUGGGUUAAGUCCUGCAACGAGCGCAACCUCGUCAUUAGUUGCUACGAAAGGCACUUCCACCAGGACUGCUGGUGACAAACCGGAGGAAGGUGGGGAUGACGUCAAGUCCUCAUGGCCCUUAUGGGUAGGGCUUCACACGCCAUACAAUGGUCGGGACAGAGGGCUGCCAACCCGGCGAGGGGAGCCAAUCCCAGAAACCCGAUCAGAACCGAUCGUAGUCUGCAACUCGACUGCGUGAAGUCGGAAUCGCUAGUAAUCGCGGAUCAGCAUGUCGCGGUGAAUACGUUCCCGGGUCUUGUACACACCGCCCGUCACACCAUGGGGAGGGUUUUACCAGAAGUAGUUAGCCUAACCGUAAGGAGGGCGAUUACCACGGUAGGAUUCAUGACUGGGGUGAAGUCGUAACAAGGUAG